GAAGGGGUGUAUUUAUUAGAUAAAAAACCAAUGCCCUUCGGGGCUCCUUGGUGAUUCAUGAUAACUUUACGGAUCGCAUAGCCUUGCGCUGGCGACGGUUCAUUCAAAUUUCUGCCCUAUCAACUUUCGAUGGUAAGGUAUUGGCUUACCAUGGUUUCAACGGGUAACGGGGAAUUAGGGUUCGAUUCCGGAGAGGCAGCCUGAGAAACGGCUACCACAUCCAAGGAAGGCAGCAGGCGCGCAAAUUACCCAAUCCCGACACGGGGAGGUAGUGACAAUAAAUACUGAUACAGGGCUCUUCUGGGUCUUGUAAUUGGAAUGAGUACAAUUCAAAUCUCUUAACGAGGAACAAUUGGAGGGCAAGUCUGGUGCCAGCAGCCGCGGUAAUUCCAGCUCCAAUAGCGUAUAUUAAAGUUGUUGCAGUUAAAAAGCUCGUAGUUGAAACUUGGGCCUGGCUGGCGGGUCCGCCUCACCGCGUGCACUCGUCCGGCCGGGCCUUCCUUCUGAAGAACCUCAUGCCCUUCACUGGGCGUGCUGGGGAAUCAGGACUUUUACUUUGAAAAAAUUA
rnacentral:rRNA from 1 species